rnacentral:lncRNA from 1 species
AAGACUUUUCAGAUCUCUACUGUGGUUGUGGACAGGUGUUUCAGUCUUUCUCUGUCUUUGACAGGUGGAGUAGGUGGACCAGCACCUUCUGGAGGUAGUGGGACUGGUGUCAGUCCCACUGACAGGGCUGGCUCUGGUGUCGGUCUUGGAGGUGAUAUUAGUGUUGGCGUUGAUGAAGGUAAACCCCUGAAACCUACAGGAGCAGGAACAGCUGGAUCUGUAACCAGUACUGCAGGAAGUGUUGGACUUGGCGCAGGAGUUAGCAGCGGAUUUCUUCCCAGUGCCAAGCCUUUGAAAUCACCAGGUACAAAAACAGAAACAAGAAUUAAUUUCUGGUUUCCUAUCCAAAUAUGUGUUGAUGUCAAAAAUGUUCCUUUCCCAGCUGCUGGAGGAGUCACUGGAGUUGAAGGAAUUGGUGGAGUUGGGGGAGUUGGAGGCACUGGACACUCACCUGGAGUGAGAGGCCUGCUGUCCGGUGGAGGUAUCCCAUCACUAUCCUGCCAUUUCUUAGCAUUUCUUCCCAUUCAUUUCUCCGUAUGUACAGUAUGUGUUUCUAAAUGUUUAGUAACUUCUACAACACAUGUAGUAUUUUCCUGCCAUUUUCUUAUAAUUAAAACUGAAAAUCAAACCCCCUCUUCUAUGUGA